rnacentral:rRNA from 1 species
GACGAACGCUGGCGGCGUGCUUAACACAUGCAAGUCGAACGGGCCUUGUCCCCUUUUUUUUUGGGGGUGGGGUUAGUGGCGAACGGGUGAGUAACACGUGAGUAACCUGCCCCUCACUUCUGGAUAACCGCUUGAAAGGGUGGCUAAUACGGGGUGUUCUGGCCUGCUCGCAUGGGUGGGUUUGGAAAGAUUCGACCGGUUUUGGUUGUUUUGUUGGGGGAUGGGCUCGCGGCCUAUCAGCUUGUUGGUGGGGUGAUGGCCUGCCAAGGCUUUGACGGGUAGCCGGCCUGAGAGGGUGGGCGGUCACACUGGGACUGAGACACGGCCCAGACUCCUACGGGAGGCAGCAGUGGGGAAUAUUGCACAAUGGGCGCAAGCCUGAUGCAGCGACGCCGCGUGAGGGAUGGAGGCCUUCGGGUUGUGAACCUCUUUCGCCAGUGAAGAAGGUCCUGCUCUUUGUGGUGGGGUUGACGGUAGCUGGGUUAAUGAAGCGCCGGCUAACUACGUG